GGACUACUGGGGUAUCUAAUCCCGUUUGCUACCCUAGCUUUCGCGCCUCAGCGUCAGUGUCAGCCCAGCAACCCGUCUUCACCUCAGGUGUUCCUCUUGAUAUCUACGCAUUUCACCGCUACACCAAGAAUUCCGAUUGCCCCUUCUGCACUCUAGCAAAGCAGUAUCAGCUGACCGUUCCGAGUUAAGCCCGGAGAUUUCACAGCUGACUUGAAUUGCCGCCUACGCGCCCUUUACGCCCAGUAAAUCCGAACAACGCUUGGUCCCUACGUAUUACCGCGGCGGCUGGCAC
rnacentral:misc_RNA from 1 species